rnacentral:rRNA from 1 species
CCAAGCUCCGUGCGCCGAGGUUUAUCCUCGACUAUCAUACUCUCGUCCUGAUGCCUUUGGAAGCACCGCAAUGAAUGCAUCUUCGACAAAUCUCGGCCAUCCGCCACUCGCCUGUUGCAAACUAUUCAGGACGACACACGAUGUUGGGCUAGAGCCGCCGCCACCAGGAUUGGCACCAUCAUCUUGUGUGAUGUAACAAAACAUGUGCUUUCUUCUACCCUUCUAUCAAUGAAAUGA